AAUGAACGCUGGCGGCAGGCCUAAAACAUGCAAGUCGAACGGUAACAGGUCUUCGGAUGCUGACGAGUGGCGCACGGGUGAGUAACACGUGGGAAUAUGCCUUUUGGUACGGAACAACAGUUGGAAACGACUGCUAAUACCGUAUGGUCCCUUCGGGGUAAAGAUUUAUCGCCAAAAGAUUAGCCCGCGUUGGAUUAGCUAGUUGGUAGGGUAAUGGCCUACCAAGGCUACGAUCUAUAGCUGGUCUGAGAGGAUGAUCAGCCACACUGGAACUGAGACACGGUCCAGACUCCUACGGGAGGCAGCAGUUAGGAAUAUUGGACAAUGGGCGCAAGCCUGAUCCAGCCAUGCCGCGUGAGUGAUGAAGGCCUUCGGGUUGUAAAGCUCUUUAGCCGACGAAUAUAAUGACUGUAGUCGGAAAAUAAGCCCCGGCUAACUUCGUG
rnacentral:rRNA from 1 species